GCCCUUGCCCAGAGUCUUCCCGGGAUUGGCUGCGGGCCUCGCGACCCUCCUGCUUCCCUCCCCGCCCCGCGCCGCCUCUCUGGUUUGUGCGCCCGUCGCAGGUCGCAGGCCUCUUUGUCAGCUGGAGUUGCGCGGGCUGACGCGCCACUAUGUAGCGGGUUUCGGGCGGGCCACGCGUGCGGGACAGGAACCCAACCCCAGCCGACCUUGAGCUCCAGGAGUUCGUCUCUUACGUCUGCGGAAGUGCAGCUGCCUCAGUUCUUAGCGCAGCUCUACAAGUUUCACGCUGUUUAAGUCAUGAACCUACAAAAGCCUGUGAAAAAAUCUUUGAAGAUGCUCAGCUUGUUUCAGUCUGAAAUUUCUCCAAGACCAAUGAACAAAACAGGAUCAUGCCCUGAAUACACACCCAAGCUGCAGGCUCCUGCUUAGCCCUAUUUUGGUUUGGCCUCCAUGAGAUCUUCAGCCACAAUAGCAGGAGAUAAAAAUCUUCCUAGAAGCUUUCAUCAGCUGCAAGUUUUCUUACAGAAUGAAACUUUUCUGCUAUUUUUCUCAUAGUUAAUUGGCUAUUUGAGAAAACCGAAUUUCUGGCUCUCAGCAUUUAAUUGGAUUCUGUGGGUGACUGGAUGACCGCUUUGCACAUCACCAUGGGUAUCAUCCUUACCUUCUUUAAACCUUUUGUGCCAGUCAAAAAUUCUUGCUCUUGAUAUGUCAUCACCGGAAACUACUUUUUUUUUUUGUUUCUCUUUUGUGACAGGGUCUUCCUCUGUCACCCAGGCUGGAUGGAGUAUAGUGGAACAAUCAUAGUUCACUGCGGCCUUGGUACCCUAGGCUCAAGCGAUCCUCCCACCUCAGCCUCCUGAGUAGGUGGGACCACAGGUGUGUACCACCAGACCUGGCUAAUUUUGUUAUUGUUGUUUUUUAUAGAGGUGGGGGGGUCUCCCUAUGUUGCCCAGGCCUGUCUUGAACUCACGGGCUCAAGUGAUCCUCCUGCCUCAGCCUCCCAAAGUUCUGGGAUUACAGGGGUGAGCCACUGGACCCAGCCAGAAACUACUUUUAACAGUUCUAAUUGCCACUUGUCUUGGCUGUAUAUUCAGAAAUA
rnacentral:lncRNA from 1 species